AUGGCCGCAGCAGCCAGCGAUGGCCUCGCCGACGAGAAGGCGCCGGGGACGAUCGGCGUAGGCCGGUACGAGGAGAUGGAGCAAGACGGCGCCUCCAGCACCGCAAAGUCGCGGCUCUCUGGCCUCCUGUGGCACGGCGGCUCCGCCUACGACGCCUGGUUCAGCUGCGCUUCCAACCAGGUGGCCCAGGUGCUGCUGACCUUGCCCUACUCCUUCUCGCAACUGGGGAUGCUGAGCGGCAUACUGUUCCAGCUCUUCUACGGCCUCAUGGGGAGCUGGACCGCGUACCUCAUCAGCAUCCUCUACGUGGAGUACCGGACCAGGAAGGAGAGGGAGAAGGCCGACUUCAGGAACCAUGUCAUCCAGUGGUUCGAGGUGCUGGACGGGCUGCUGGGGAGGCACUGGAGGAACGUCGGCCUCGCCUUCAACUGCACCUUCCUCCUCUUCGGCUCCGUCAUCCAGCUCAUCGCCUGCGCCAGCAACAUCUACUACAUUAACGACCGGCUGGACAAGAGGACGUGGACCUACAUCUUCGGCGCGUGCUGCGCCACCACGGUGUUCAUCCCGUCGUUCCACAACUACCGCAUCUGGUCCUUCCUGGGCCUCGUCAUGACCACCUACACGGCGUGGUACCUCGCCGUUGCAUCCCUUCUCCAUGGCCAGGUUGAUGGUGUGAAGCACUCUGGCCCGACCAAGAUGGUGCUCUACUUCACCGGGGCCACCAACAUUCUCUACACCUUCGGCGGCCAUGCAGUUACUGUGGAGGUGAUGCACGCGAUGUGGCGGCCGCAGAAGUUCAAGGGGAUCUACCUGAUGGCGACGGCGUACGUGCUGACGCUGACGCUGCCGUCGGCGGCGAGCGUGUACUGGGCGUUCGGGGACGAGCUGCUCACGCACUCCAACGCGCUCUCGCUGCUGCCGCGCACGCCGUUCCGGGACGCCGCCGUGGUGCUCAUGCUCGUCCACCAGUUCAUCACCUUCGGCUUCGCCUGCACGCCGCUCUACUUCGUCUGGGAGAAGCUCAUCGGCCUCCACGACUGCCGCAGCCUCUGCAAGCGCGCCGCCGCGCGCCUCCCCGUCGUCGUGCCCAUCUGGUUCCUCGCCAUCGUCUUCCCCUUCUUCGGGCCCAUCAACUCCGCCGUCGGCUCCCUCCUCGUCAGCUUCACCGUCUACAUCAUCCCGGCGCUCGCGCACAUGAUCACCUACCGCUCCGCACACGCCCGCGAGAACGCCGUGGAGCAGCCGCCGCGGUUCGUGGGGCGAUGGACGGGCACGUACGUGAUCAACGCGUUCGUGGUGGUGUGGGUGCUGGUGGUCGGCUUCGGCUUCGGCGGCUGGGCCAGCAUCACCAACUUCGUCCGCCAGAUCGACACCUUCGGCCUCUUCACCAAGUGCUACCAGUGCCCCACGCCGCCCAUCCCGGACGCCUCCUGGCCGUUCCCCGGCGGCCUCCACAACCUGACGAUGCUUCCGCCGGCGCCGGCUCCUUCACCGGCGCACUUCUUCCGCCACCACCGGCACCACAGCCGCGGGCUCUGA
rnacentral:rRNA from 1 species